UACAGAGGGGGCAAGCGUUAUUCGGAAUUAUUGGGCGUAAAGGGCGCGUAGGCGGCUUGGCAAGUGGAUGGUGAAAUCCCUCGGCUUAACCGAGGAACUGCCGUCCAAACUGCUUAGCUUGAGACCGGGAGAGGUGAGUGGAAUUCCCAGUGUAGCGGUGAAAUGCGUAGAUAUUCGCAAGAACACCAGUGGCGAAGGCGGCUCACUGGCCCGGUACUGACGCUGAGGUGCGAAAGCGUGGGGAGCAAACAGG
rnacentral:rRNA from 1 species